GACGAACGCUGGCGGCGUGCCUAAUACAUGCAAGUAGAACGCAGUUGCGAACGGGUGAGUAACGCGUAGGUAAAUGCCUCAUCGCGGGGGAUAACUAUUGGAACCGAUAGCUAAUACCGCAUACUGUGCGAUGGACCUGCGUUGUAUUAGCUAGUUGGUGAGGUAAAGGCUCACCACGGCGACGAUACAUAGCCGACCUGAGAGGGUGAACGGCCAAAAUGGGACUGAGACACGGCCCAGACUCCUACGGGAGGCAGGAGUAGGGAAUCUUCGGCAAUGGACGGAAGUCUGACCGAGCAACGCCUCGUGAGAGAAGAAGGUUUUCGGAUCGUAAAGCUCUUUUGUUAGAGAAGCGGUAACUACCCAGAAAGGGACGGCUAACUACGUGCCAGCAGCCGCGGUAAUAC
rnacentral:rRNA from 1 species